CCCCCAGGAAGCGGCGGGCGCAUCACAUGGCCGCGCGGCGCUGCCAUAAACACGCCAAGAUGGCGGCCCUCACGCCGCCCGCCCGCCCGUGCUGCGUCACGGCGCCCCCCCGGCCCCGCCGCCAGCCCGCAGGGAGGGUUCUCGAGACGGUAACAAGGAGCCGAGUUUUGCGUUUUCGCACACCUGUUUGCAUGGAGUCCCCGUGUGCGUGGUCCGGCUGGAGCAGCGCGAGAAUCGGCGUGUGAGGAGGCCCAGCAGCCUACUAGUAACCGCCGGAGCAAGGAUAAAAUCUUCAGGCUCAGAUGAAGACACACCUGAACUGCCAAAUAGCAGCUCUUCUCUAACCGCCUCGGCCUCCGAAAUGUGGGAUUCCCAAUUCCACUGCGCUUCCAUUCUGUUGAAAUGGGUAGACUUUUUUUCUGCUGGAACAAUGUGGUGUGAAAACGCUUCAGAGUGGCAGCAAAUGGUUUGUUUGUUGGGCACGUCCCUUCCUUUCCAAAAGUCACAGCUGUACGUACAGAUUUUCUUCAGCAUUUUUUACAAAGUUUUUUGGUGUUUUUUUUUCUUCCAGCAGCAGAUGAUGUAAUUAGUUACAAUUGGUGGCAAAUCUGCAAGUUUUAGGGUAUAUGUUUAAGUCAUCUGUGUCAUCAUCUGACGUCAGUAUUGCAUAAUCUGUUGACUGUCCCCUUUUUAUGUAAUGUAUGUUUGCAGUUUGUUUUAAAAUGUACAAAUAUUUUUUUCCACUGCGUGCUUCUCCUCAGAUAUUUCUUGCUUGUCUCACCAUUGCCCUCUUCCGUUAAAAACUUGUAAAACACCAUUUUGGUAGCUGGA